UCUGCAACUCGACUACAUGAAGCUGGAAUCGCUAGUAAUCGCGAAUCAGAAUGUCGCGGUGAAUACGUUCCCGGGUCUUGUACACACCGCCCGUCACACCAUGGGAGUCAGCAACGCCCGAAGCCGGUGACCCAACCGAAAGGAGGGAGCCGUCGAAGGUGGGGCCGAUAACUGGGGUGAAGUCGUAACAAGGUAGC
rnacentral:rRNA from 1 species